AAAAAAGCAGGGUUAAGUUGCCUUCUGUGAACUUGGCUCUUGUAAACUUCAGGAAAAUUAAUUGCAUUGUUUUUGGGUGAACCUGUGUUUUUGUCUGUGGCUAAAGGUUCAGUAAAUGAUGGCACAUCC